rnacentral:rRNA from 1 species
GGGGAACUGUAGCAGCUUGCUGCUUCGCUGACGAGUGGCGGACGGGUGAGUAAUGUCUGGGAAACUGCCUGAUGGAGGGGGAUAACUACUGGAAACGGUAGCUAAUACCGCAUAACGUCGCAAGACCAAAGAGGGGGACCUUCGGGCCUCUUGCCAUCAGAUGUGCCCAGAUGGGAUUAGCUAGUAGGUGGGGUAACGGCUCACCUAGGCGACGAUCCCUAGCUGGUCUGAGAGGAUGACCAGCCACACUGGAACUGAGACACGGUCCAGACUCCUACGGGAGGCAGCAGUGGGGAAUAUUGCACAAUGGGCGCAAGCCUGAUGCAGCCAUGCCGCGUGUAUGAAGAAGGCCUUCGGGUUGUAAAGUACUUUCAGCGGGGAGGAAGGCGAUACGGUUAAUAACCGCGUCGAUUGACGUUACCCGCAGAAGAAGCACCGGCUAACUCCGUGCCAGCAGCCGCGGUAAUACGGAGGGUGCAAGCGUUAAUCGGAAUUACUGGGCGUAAAGCGCACGCAGGCGGUCUGUCAAGUCGGAUGUGAAAUCCCCGGGCUCAACCUGGGAACUGCAUCCGAAACUGGCAGGCUUGAGUCUCGUAGAGGGGGGUAGAAUUCCAGGUGUAGCGGUGAAAUGCGUAGAGAUCUGGAGGAAUACCGGUGGCGAAGGCGGCCCCCUGGACGAAGACUGACGCUCAGGUGCGAAAGCGUGGGGAGCAAACAGGAUUAGAUACCCUGGUAGUCCACGCCGUAAACGAUGUCGACUUGGAGGUUGUGCCCUUGAGGCGUGGCUUCCGGAGCUAACGCGUUAAGUCGACCGCCUGGGGAGUACGGCCGCAAGGUUAAAACUCAAAUGAAUUGACGGGGGGCCCGCACAAGCGGUGGAGCAUGUGGUUUAAUUCGAUGCAACGCGAAGAAACCUUACCUGGGUCUUGACAUCCACAGAACUUUCCAAAAGAUGGAUUGGGUGCCUUCCGGGAACUGUUAAGACAGGUGCUGCAUUGGCUGUCGUCCAGCUCCUUGUUGUGAAAAUGUUGGGGUUAAGUCCCCCCAACCAACCCCAACCCUUAAUCCUUUA